AUUUAGCAGAUGAGUCCCAAAUAGGAUUAAACGACCAUCCUGGAU
rnacentral:hammerhead_ribozyme from 1 species